rnacentral:rRNA from 1 species
AGAGUUUGAUCAUGGCUCAGAAUCAACGCUGGCGGCGCGCUUAACACAUGCAAGUCGCACGAGAAAGGGGAGCAAUCUCUGAGUACAGUGGCGCACGGGUGAGUAACACGUGGGUAAUCCACCCUUUAGUGGGGAAUAACCCUGGGAAACCGGGGCUAAUACCGCAUAAGCCUGAGAAGGGAAAGCAGCAAUGCGCUGAAGGAGGAGCUCGCGGCCGAUUAGCUAGUUGGUGGGGUAACGGCUCACCAAGGCGACGAUCGGUAGCCGGCCUGAGAGGGCACACGGCCACACUGGCACUGAAACACGGGCCAGACUCCUACGGGAGGCAGCAGUGGGGAAUCUUGCACAAUGGGGGAAACCCUGAUGCAGCGACGCCGCGUGAGCGAUGAAGCCCUUCGGGGUGUAAAGCUCUUUCGACGGGAACGAUAAUGACGGUACCCGGAGAAGAAGCUGCGGCUAACUACGUGCCAGCCGCCGCGGUAAUAC